UAUUCCAGUGCAUCACAGCACAGUGGAAAAAGAGAAGGGAGCUGGCUCCAUGCAGAAGAGACCAAGGAGUUGGGGGCGGGGCUCUCUUUGUAAGAACUCAUUCUGGAAAUACAGAGUUCAUUUUUCAUUAGGGUAGAGCUCUCAAGAACCCACUUCUGGAAAUACAGAUUUAUCCUUCAUCAGGUCCCACCACCUCAGCACUGCCAUGCUGGACACCACGCUUCUGACGCACGAACCUUUAGAGGGUGAACCAUACGCAAACUGCAGCAUCAUCUCCUGCCUCCCUCACAUUCCUUCAGUUCCUCAAAGCCCAGGUGUGGAGCUGGAGACUCAGUUCCCUCUGCCCUGGACCACAUCCACUUACCCUUCAACUGAGAAGCUUCUCUUCUGAAAUAUCCUUUUGUGUUUUUGACAACUUCCUUCCCCCUGCUACCCCCUGCACACUUUCCUAACAGCACUUGUCAUACAGUAUUGCCAUCUCUGCGUCAUUGUUUGUAAUAAAACCUUCGGAUUCUGGGAUCCCUGUAGGCAAGGGCCAUGUCUCUCUAAUUCUGCACCCUGUCCUGUGUAGCAAUCGCCUCUGAACUGAAACAUUCCUUCCAACCUCUGGACUGAAACAUUCCUAUCAAAAAUGAGGCUCAUGAGACUCAAGAAGUAAACAACCUGUAAGUCUCAGGAAGUUCCUGUAGCUAACAAGACCAGCCAUUGGAAGCAGAUGGAGGAGACUCUCUGGUCUAGUCAGCAGCCUGCAGGCAGUGCAGGGAGCUUUAGAGAUGCAGCUUUUGUGAACUGGGACAUCCAGGCUGCAGUGGGCCUUGGUGAUGCAGCUGCCUUUGAGUCAUCCCUGCUUCUGUAAGUAGUUCCUUGUUUAUACUCCUAGGGGGGUCACUGCCAUAAACGUACUGGUUUACCAAG